rnacentral:rRNA from 1 species
UACUUGCGUACGUAGGCCGGAAGCUCUUUUCGAAGGUGGGGGAUGAGGGGGCGUAGCUGUGGGAGGGAACGUCGUAGUGGAUUCUAUGUAUCACCCUCCUUGGGUCGGAAGAACCUCAAAUCGCUAAGAGCCGGCAGCCUAGACCAAAAACUACGCAAGAGCCGGCACGCUAGACGGAGGAGCUAUUGUUGUUGGCAGCCUAGUUUUUCUCCUUGACAUCUAGCUUUGUUGGAUCGGCGGAGGAGGGAGCGAGCAAGGAGUAGGGGAGGAGGGCGUCGGCGGAGGGAGGGAGUGAGGGUGAGUGGCGGCUAGGGGUUAGGUCGCUGCCGCUGCUGCCGCCGACGCCGCCGAGGACGUGGGCGCAAGAGGGGGAGGGGGGGAGGUUGUGCAGAGACGAAGAGGGUGUCUCCUACGCCUCCUCGGUGGCACCAGGCCGGAAGAGGGGCGGACGCGGCGGCAGCGGCGGUUGGUAGGAGGGGUAGGGCGGAGUUGGUAGGAGGGGCAGAGCGGCGGCAGCGGCUCUAGCUGCGGGUCCGCCCGUUCUUCGUUGUCUUCUGGUGGCCUCUUCUUCCGUUUCCGCCUCCUCUUCGGCCACCUCUUCCUGCUCCACACGCACCUUAUCGGGCCGCGCUCCUCCUCCUGCUCUACCGAUGGAAGCCCCUCGUCGUCUUCCUCAACCCCGUGCGCCGCCGCCACCGCCGCCGGUUCUCCGCGUAUCGCGUCCGCUGGUUCUUCCGGUCCUUGCACCGGCGGCCGCUGUUCCUCGGGCUCAAGGAGCCGGUCGCGGGUAGGGACGGCUGCUCCGGGCGCGGUUCACCGGCGUCGCGAUGGUCGCACCGAGCGGGUUCUCCAUGCGGGGCCUGGGUAGUGGGUAGGCGGGGCGGGACCGGGAAGAGGAAGGGCGAACAGCUCCGGGCGGAGUUCACCGGCGUCGGAAAGAGAGAGAGUGUGUUGACGAGGAAGGUAGAGGGCACGGCGCUGGCGCUACACCCUCGUUCCUGCUCGGAAUAAGACGUCUACCUUCUACCACCGGAACUCGAGGACGGUCUACGACAGGUUGCCAAAGGAGAGGCACUCCUCAAGCGGCUGUCAGACCUUGUGGGUCUAAUUCACGGAGAACACAAAAAUUACGGUCUACCUCACUUAGACUCUACAGUUCUACUGGCCUUACAAAAGAGACCUGUUCCCGUCAUUCAACUGCCACCACCGCGACCAUCCGACUUGACGCCGCUCUCUGUCGCCGUUCUCUGUAGUGGGUGACCCGGACGCGUUUGAUGACUGUCACAAUUGUGUCUUCGUGGACCCACCUACUUUUCCAAUGAGGACCCAUCGUGAGGUGGUCUGACCAGCCGGUAAAGGAAGAGCCUACUCACGUGAUCUCGUCUGUCAGACGUUUAUACGUCUUCUUGGAUUUUCUUACAUUAGUCUAGUCUUGAGUCCCCACUCAUAAAAAUCCACCUUUCCCAGGAAGGUAAUUGGUUAUUGUCAACGGUCUAACGACCGAUGUUCCAGUACGUGCUUGCGAGUUCGGAAUGGGUCGGUUUAUUGUACCCAUAAACGAGGUCGGCACGGGGUUUCCGACGUUCAGACAGUCGGUUUUAUAAUGUUCAA